rnacentral:rRNA from 1 species
AAUGGGUCAGCGACUUAUAUUCUGUAGCAAGGUUAACCGAAUAGGGGAGCCGAAGGGAAACCGAGUCUUAACUGGGCGUUAAGUUGCAGGGUAUAGACCCGAAACCCGGUGAUCUAGCCAUGGGCAGGUUGAAGGUUGGGUAACACUAACUGGAGGACCGAACCGACUAAUGUUGAAAAAUUAGCGGAUGACUUGUGGCUGGGGGUGAAAGGCCAAUCAAACCGGGAGAUAGCUGGUUCUCCCCGAAAGCUAUUUAGGUAGCGCCUCGUGAAUUCAUCUCCGGGGGUAGAGCACUGUUUCGGCAAGGGGGUCAUCCCGACUUACCAACCCGAUGCAAACUGCGAAUACCGGAGAAUGUUAUCACGGGAGACACACGGCGGGUGCUAACGUCCGUCGUGAAGAGGGAAACAACCCAGACCGCCAGCUAAGGUCCCAAAGUCAUGGUUAAGUGGGAAACG